rnacentral:rRNA from 1 species
CUACGGGUGGCAGCAGUGGGGAAUAUUGCACAAUGGGCGCAAGCCUGAUGCAGCCAUGCCGCGUGUGUGAAGAAGGCCUUCGGGUUGUAAAGCACUUUCAGCGGGGAGGAAGGCGGUGAGGUUAAUAACCUCAUCGAUUGACGUUACCCGCAGAAGAAGCACCGGCUAACUCCGUGCCAGCAGCCGCGGUAAUACGGAGGGUGCAAGCGUUAAUCGGAAUUACUGGGCGUAAAGCGCACGCAGGCGGUCUGUCUAGUCGGAUGUGAAAUCCCCGGGCUCAACCUGGGAACUGCAUUCGAAACUGGCAGGCUAGAGUCUUGUAGAGGGGGGUAGAAUUCCAGGUGUAGCGGUGAAAUGCGUAGAGAUCUGGAGGAAUACCGGUGGCGAAGGCGGCCCCCUGGACAAAGACUGACGCUCAGGUGCGAAAGCGUGGGGAGCAAACAGGAUUAGAUACCCGUGUAGUC